rnacentral:lncRNA from 1 species
AUUUUAAGAGACGUUUGGCCAUGGAGCAAUCUGGCAAUACUAACUUUGUCCCCUUAGUACCCUUUCCCCCAGAUUACUUUGCCAAAAAGGAAAAACCACAGGCAGAUGGAACAGAUUCAACAGACAGGUCCAAUGUUGAAUCAUCCUCAGUAUCUGAAGGGACUGAGAUGUCAGGUGAUGCUACAGCUAGACCUGAACAGAGUCCAGGACCUUCUUCUGAUCAGAUCUCAAGUAAAAACAAUCGUAUUGGUUCUACUUAUGCGGCUUCAAGCAGUGGAGAUUCAAGUCAGGAUUUUAAGAGACGUUUGGCCAUGGAGCAAUCUGGCAAUACUAACUUUGUCCCCUUAGUACCCUUUCCCCCAGAUUACUUUGCCAAAAAGGAAAAACCACAGGCAGAUGGAACAGAUUCAACAGACAGGUCCAAUGUUGAAUCAUCCUCAGUAUCUGAAGGGACUGAGAUGUCAGGUGAUGCUACAGCUAGACCUGAACAGAGUCCAGGACCUUCUUCUGAUCAGAUCUCAAGUAAAAACAAUCGUAUUGGUUCUACUUAUGCGGCUUCAAGCAGUGGAAAUUCAAGUCAGGAUUUUAAGAGACGUUUGGCCAUGGAGCAAUCUGGCAAUACUAACUUUGUCCCCUUAGUACCCUUUCCCCCAGAUUACUUUGCCAAAAAGGAAAAACCACAGGCAGAUGGAACA